UGGGGAAUUUUGGACAAUGGGCGAAAGCCUGAUCCAGCCAUGCCGCGUGAGUGAAGAAGGCCUUCGGGUUGUAAAGCUCUUUUAGUCGGAAAGAAAGAGUUGCAAUGAAUAAUUGUGAUUUAUGACGGUACCGACAGAAAAAGCACCGGCUAACUACGUGCCAGCAGCCGCGGUAAUACGUAGGGUGCGAGCGUUAAUCGGAAUUACUGGGCGUAAAGGGUGCGCAGGCGGUCUUGCAAGUCAGAUGUGAAAGCCCCGGGCUUAACCUGGGAAUUGCGUUUGAAACUACAAGGCUAGAGUGCAGCAGAGGGGAGUGGAAUUCCAUGUGUAGCAGUGAAAUGCGUAGAGAUGUGGAAGAACACCGAUGGCGAAGGCAGCUCCCUGGGUUGACACUGACGCUCAUGCAUGAAAGCGUGGGGAGCAAACA
rnacentral:rRNA from 1 species